AUUCAUUUCCCCAAGUUUGAUUGAUGCAGAAAAACUGUAGACAUGAUCUGCAAGUCUACGCUAAAUGUCACAUAGAUGAAGAACCAAGUGUUGAUGAGCUCUUUUAUUAUCAUAAUUAAAUUAUUUUACAUCAAUAAUAAAAGAGGUGUCCGUUUCUUUUAAAAAAUUUGAGUAACGGGGUUUUAAAUUUGAAUUUGAUUCCAAUUUGAA
rnacentral:lncRNA from 1 species